CAGGGAGACAGAGGGAGUGAGACCAAUUAACAAAAUAAACACAGAAGAGAAGACACGUUUUAUGGAAUCUACUAGCUCCUGUAAGGCUCCAGCGAUGAACCCACCCACCUGCUUGAUGAACUUGUACUUUAGAGCAAUGAGACCUCCAGUUGUUUUGCCACUGUGUUUACAGUGAGGGAAGAGGGGAUCCAUUUGUCCCAAGAAUAACGUCUGACUGAAGAGGGAGAGAGAGCGUGUAUGUGUUUCAUCACCUGCAAAGCCAAUGAGGGAGAGCGUCUCCGCGUCAACAACUGUAAAGCGUAUCCCAGCUUGUGCCGUCUCCGCUGCCACGCUACACUAGCCAAGAAUGUGUAUUUCUGCAGAUGAUUAAAUCAAUACCAUUUUGACAAGACUUGUUGGAACAUGCCUCUUUAUUUUACACAAUUCCUUCCCUUUCACCAGGGAGCAUUUAUCAACCUGCCGGGGCGCUGUCACCUAAUGGAGAUUGUUCUUUAGUCCACACUUGAUAGAAGGGAACGAUUAUGAUGCAUGUCGAUAGUUUACACUGAUAUUGACAUGGGGAACAAAAGCAGACCCUUGUGGCUGAUGGCAUUUUACACUGAUUCUCUCACAAGGCACCCCAGCCAUGUUUUAAAUGUGCCCUUCUCCCUCACCAUGCUUCUCCUCCUGCUAAUUUUACAACACAAGCCAGAGCUCAUUAAUUCUCCAAAACUCUGACAACCCAGGGUUCA